GGCACUUCUUGUUGGAAAAAGCUGUGCAUCCCUUUACGCUUAAGAAAGCAAAUACAAUCUUUGAGGACAUGUUUUCAAAUUACUUAUGGAAAUGGAUGGUUUGUAUAGACACUUUGAUAUAUUUUGCGUUCUAGUGCAAUUCAUAGGAUUGAAGUCAUUGAUUUGUUUUUGUUUUGAUGGUUGUAUGAUGCAUAUCAUCUAUGGAAACCAUGUGAAGGAACCAUUUUGUAGAUUAUUUACAAAUUUUUAAGCAAAUCAAUGACUACCGAAGUGCACGUAUAAUUUUAAGUACAUGGGCUUCUUAGAUAAGCUAAUUAAUGGCAGCUAGAUCUUGAGGGGGAUAAUUUAACUUUGAUUAAUGACAAUAUGUGACUUAUUGCAAUCUGAUGAGUGAUGAUGAUCAAUAGUGGGUGAACUACUGAACUUCAUGUAUAUUUCAUUUGAAUACAGUCAGUGCUCAUUCUUUGUGUUUCUGACCAUCCAUAAUUUGCUUUUAUAAAUGAUCUACCUCUUUAGUUUGUAGAAAAUUGUUUUAUUGAAAUGAAGUUUAAUUGCUAAUUGUACUUUUUUUUUCUGGUAAUAACUCACUCUUGUAUAUUUUAAUGUUUAUUAUCUUUGUAGGAAAUUGCCAAACAGCUAUGCU
rnacentral:misc_RNA from 1 species